UAGAAAAUUUAGUUGGCGCUUUAAAGGCUUCUAUGGCUUUUCUUGUGUUUGUGUUUGUUCUGUAUGUAUAGCUUUAUCAAGAAACACACACAAACACACAGUGGCAAUGGGUAUUUACACCUUUCAUUGACCAUAAUGAAUUACCUCCCUCUACCAGCCCCUUUAAUUUCCCUGCACAGCAUGCACUUAUUAGUUUUAAUUGCAAAUAUUUACUCCAAUUUUCCAUUUUGAGCAAACUAUCUUGGGAUUUUCUCCAACCAUUAAUACAUUUCCCUGCCCCUCAAUUUACUCCUCUCUCUUCUUUCUACCCUUCCUCUUUCAAUUCAUUCAAUUGAUUUCCUAUUACCCCUCUCUCUCUCUCUCUCUCUCUCUCUCUCUCUCUCUCUCUCUCUCUCUCUUCCAACUUCUUCUCCUAUAAUUUAAUUAAGCUUUUAAAGCAAUCCCAUCUCUCCACUCUAUAGUUCCCAUUAUAUAAUAUGGCUUUACAAGUCCAAGAUCAUCAACUAGGACCACAACAAGUUCAACUUGUUCAUCUUAGUAGUUUGGCCGUGCUGCCGGUGGUUCCGGUUACUUCCCUUGGUGCGCCGCCGAUCUCCGCCGUAACCUUCCGGCUACCCCCUUCCUUUCUUCAAUCACUACCACCCUUACUCCACCUUUGAAUUAGAAGAGCUAGCUUUCCUCAUCACUUCCUUUAGGUGGCAAAAAUUCCUCAAUCUUAAGACAGGGGAGAUUGAUUAUUAUUCAAAAGAAAGAAGAAAAGAAAUCAUAUUAAUUACAAGUACUACAAUUAGCCAUGAGCCGAAGAAAUGGAAAUGGUGAGCUUGACCUAAAGCUGAAUUUGUCACCACCACGAGUGAUCAACCACCCACAAGUGGAGUCGCCGAGCAGGUCGUUGACGGCGUCGCCGACGAGUUCAUGCGUGUCGUCCGACGAUUCCUCCGCCGUCCAACGUUAUUCCGACAGCCCAGAAACAAUUACUUCAAUGGUGUUGGUUGGUUGUCCACGUUGUCUCAUGUAUGUUAUGUUAGCAGAAGUUAAUGACCCAAGAUGCCCUAAAUGCAAGAGUACUUGUUUGCUUGAUGUUAUGUAUGAGAAGAACAAGACUACUAGGAGGAAUAUCAGUUAGACUAUAGUCAAGAAUCUAUCAAAUUCUGCUAUUACUGCGUGUAUCAGCAAUCUUGCCCCCCAACCUUGGAAAAAAUGAAAAAUUAAAACCUUUGUUUACCCCUGUUUUCAACUUUCUAUAAAUAGCACUAUUUGAGCUCCAUUUUGACUUGAAUCCAAAAUGAAAAAUGUAAAAGAAAAAAAAUGAAAAAUGAAAUGGGUGAAGAGAACUUUUGGAGCUUCUA